GUGGGGAAUAUUGGACAAUGGGCGAAAGCCUGAUCCAGCCAUGCCGCGUGUGUGAAGAAGGUCUUCGGAUUGUAAAGCACUUUAAGUUGGGAGGAAGGGCAGUAAGUUAAUACCUUGCUGUUUUGACGUUACCGACAGAAUAAGCACCGGCUAACUUCGUGCCAGCAGCCGCGGUAAUACGAAGGGUGCAAGCGUUAAUCGGAAUUACUGGGCGUAAAGCGCGCGUAGGUGGUUUUGUAAGUUGGAGGUGAAAUCCCCGGGCUCAACCUGGGAACUGCAUUUGUGACUGCAUAGCUAGAGUACGGCAGAGGGGGAUGGAAUUUCCUGUGUAGCGGUGAAAUGCGUAGAUAUAGGAAGGAACACCAGUGGCGAAGGCGACUACCUGGACUGAUACUGACACUGAGGUGCGAAAGCGUGGGGAGCAAACAGGAUUAGAAACCCCUGUAGUCC
rnacentral:rRNA from 1 species